rnacentral:rRNA from 1 species
GAUGAACGCUAGCUACAGGCCUAACACAUGCAAGUCGAGCGAUCGGCGCACGGGUGAGUAAUGUGUGGGAAACUGCCUGAUGUAGGGGGAUAACUACUGGAAACGGUAGCUAAUACCGCAUACCAUCAGAUGUGCCCAGAUGGGAGUAGCUAGUAGGUGGGGUAACGGCUCACCUAGGCGCCGAUCCCUAGCUGGUCUGAGAGGAUGACCAGCCACACUGGAACGGAGACACGGUCCAGACUCCUACGGGAGGCAGCAGUGGGGAAUAUUGCACAAUGGGCGCAAGCCUGAUGCAGCCAUGCCGCGUGUCUGAAGAAGGCUUUCGGGUUGUAAAGGACUUUUGUCAGGGAAGCGGUACCUGAAGAAUAAGCACCGGCUAACUACGUGCCAGCAGCCGCGGUAAUAC